UGCCCGUUAGCUUAGUUGGUAGAGCGCCGUUACUGUCUUUACGAGACGGUGGUCACAGGUUCAAGUCCUGUACGGGCUA